UAGCGCAUUGGGAGCUUUACCCAAGGGCGGUAGCGUA
rfam:Vibrio hepatarius strain DSM 19134 contig0009, whole genome shotgun sequence.